GACGAACGCUGGCGGCGUGCUUAACACAUGCAAGUCGAACGGUGACGCACCUUCCUUUUGGUGGGUGUGGAUGAGUGGCGAACGGGUGAGUAACACGUGAGUAACCUGCCCCCUUCUUCUGGAUAACCGCAUGCAAGUGUGGCUAAUACGGGAUAUUCUGUGCCUGCUGCAUGGUGGGUGUGGGUAAGGUGCGCUUUUGGGUGUUUUUGGUGGGGUCUGGGCUCGCGGCCUAUCAGCUUGUUGGUGGGGUGAUGGCCUACCAAGGCGGUGACGGGUAGCCGGCCUGAGAGGGUGGACGGUCACACUGGGACUGAGACACGGCACAGAAUCCUACGGGAGGCAGCAGUGGGGAAUAGUGCACGAUGGGCGCAAGCCUGAUGCAGCGACGCCGCGUGAGGGAUGGAGGCCUUCGGGUUGUAAACCUCUUUCGCCAGUGAAGCAGGCCUGUCCCUUGUGGGUGGGUUGACGGUAGCUAGAUAAGAAGCGCCGGCUAACUACGUG
rnacentral:rRNA from 1 species